UGAAAGAAUUCCAUUAAUAAUGAUCUGGAGCGUACAGUAUGUAGCAAGAUAACAUGGCAAGGUCAUGUCAUGUCACUCUCUCCGCAGCCUCUAAAAAUGAAUCUCGUUGUAUGAACAACAGCGCUAAUAAAACAGAGUGGCACUCCCGCGGCGGUCGAGCGAGGACCGCUGCAUGCAUCUAGAACAUGACGGCGGCGGCGACGGCACCGGCCACGGCGACGAAGCUGACGGAGGAGGCGUAGACGGCGGAACUGGCGGGCGUGGUGCCGCUGGGCGCGCCGGCGGGCGCGCCCGCGGGUGCUCCGGCGACCGCGGAGGGUGUCAUCGCGGAAGGAGCGCCGGUGGGGGCGUCGGUGGGCGGGGCCGGGGGAGAGGCCAUCGGGGACGGCGCCGAUGCGGUCGGAGGCGUGGCGACCGGGG
rnacentral:lncRNA from 1 species